rfam:Myotis lucifugus cont2.34780, whole genome shotgun sequence.
GCCCGUGUGGCUCAGUGGAUACAGUGUCAGCCUGUGGGCUCAAGGGUCCUGGGUUCGAUUCCAGUCAAGGGCA